rnacentral:rRNA from 1 species
UGGUUCCUACGGGGCGCAGCAGUGAGGAAUAUUGGUCAAUGGGCUUACGCCUGAACCAGCCAAGUCGCGUGAGGGAAGACUGCCCUAUGGGUUGUAAACCUCUUUUGUCAGGGAGCAAUUGGCGCUACGUGUAGCGUUAUCGAGAGUACCUGAAGAAAAAGCAUCGGCUAACUCCGUGCCAGCAGCCGCGGUAAUACGGAGGAUGCGAGCGUUAUCCGGAUUUAUUGGGUUUAAAGGGUGCGUAGGCGGAAUGCCAAGUCAGCGGUAAAAUCGCGGGGCUCAACCCCGCCGAGCCGUCGGAACUG